rnacentral:rRNA from 1 species
AACGAACGCUGGCGGCAUGCCUAACGCAUGCAAGUCGAACGAGACCUUCGGGUCUAGUGGCGCACGGGUGCGUAACGCGUGGGAACCUGCCCUUAGGUUCGGAAUAACUCCCCGAAAGGGGUGCUAAUACCGGAUAAUGUCUUCGGACCAAAGAUUUAUCGCCUUUGGAUGGGCCCGCGUUGGAUUAGCUAGUUGGUAGGGUAAAAGCCUACCAAGGCGACGAUCCAUAGCUGGUCUGAGAGGAUGAUCAGCCACACUGGGACUGAGACACGGCCCAGACUCCUACGGGAGGCAGCAGUGGGGAAUAUUGGACAAUGGGCGAAAGCCUGAUCCAGCAAGGCCGCGUGAGUGAUGAAGGCCUUAGGGUUGUAAAGCUCUUUUACCCGGGAUGAUAAGGACAGUACCGGGAGAAUAAGCUCCGGCGAACUCCGU